rnacentral:rRNA from 1 species
UGGGGAAUAUUGCACAAUGGGGGAAACCCUGAUGCAGCGACGCCGCGUGAGCGAAGAAGUAUUUCGGUAUGUAAAGCUCUAUCAGCAGGGAAGAAACUGACGGUACCUGACUAAGAAGCACCGGCUAAAUACGUGCCAGCAGCCGCGGUAAUACGUAUGGUGCAAGCGUUAUCCGGAUUUACUGGGUGUAAAGGGAGCGUAGACGGAUAGGCAAGUCUGAAGUGAAAGCCCGGGGCUCAACCCCGGGACUGCUUUGGAAACUGUUUAUCUAGAGUGCUGGAGAGGUAAGUGGAAUUCCUAGUGUAGCGGUGAAAUGCGUAGAUAUUAGGAGGAACACCAGUGGCGAAGGCGGCUUACUGGACAGUAACUGACGUUGAGGCUCGAAAGCGUGGGGAGCAAACA